rfam:Cajanus cajan chromosome 8, whole genome shotgun sequence.
UGCCAGUGAUGAGAGCAAUGGUAAAUAUGUUUUCUAUGAUCUUUCAUGAUUACAGAACCACUACUGCCUUCCUUCUGAGGCU